rnacentral:rRNA from 1 species
AUUGAACGCUGGCGGCAUGCUUUACACAUGCAAGUCGAACGGUAACAGGCCUUCGGGUGCUGACGAGUGGCGAACGGGUGAGUAAUGCAUCGGAACGUACCCAGAGGUGGGGGAUAACGAAGCGAAAGCUGUGCUAAUACCGCAUGUGAUCUGAGGAUGAAAGCGGGGGACCGAGCAGCAAUGUUUGGCCUCGCGCCUUUGGAGCGGCCGAUGUCGGAUUAGCUAGUUGGUGGGGUAAAGGCCUACCAAGGCGACGAUCCGUAGCUGGUCUGAGAGGACGACCAGCCACACUGGGACUGAGACACGGCCCAGACUCCUACGGGAGGCAGCAGUGGGGAAUUUUGGACAAUGGGCGCAAGCCUGAUCCAGCAAUGCCGCGUGCGGGAAGAAGGCCUUCGGGUUGUAAACCGCUUUUGGCAGGAACGAAACGGUGUCCGCUAAUACCGGGCGCUAAUGACGGUACCUGCAGAAUAAGCACCGGCUAACUACGUG